GUAGGGAAUCUUCGGCAAUGGACGAAAGUCUGACCGAGCAACGCCGCGUGAGUGAAGAAGGUUUUCGGAUCGUAAAACUCUGUUGGUAGAGAAGAACGUUGGUGAGAGUGGAAAGCUCAUCAAGUGACGGUAACUACCCAGAAAGGGACGGCUAACUACGUGCCAGCAGCCGCGGUAAUACGUAGGUCCCGAGCGUUGUCCGGAUUUAUUGGGCGUAAAGCGAGCGCAGGUGGUUUAUUAAGUCUGGUGUAAAAGGCAGUGGCUCAACCAUUGUAUGCAUUGGAAACUGGUAGACUGGAGUGCAGGAGAGGAGAGUGGAAUUCCAGGUGUAGCGGUGAAAUGCGUAGAUAUAUGGAGGAACACCGGUGGCGAAAGCGGCUCUCUGGCCUGUAACUGACACUGAGGCUCGAAAGCGUGGGGAGCAAACAGGAUUAGAUACCCUGGUAGUCC
rnacentral:rRNA from 1 species